AGUGAACGCUGGCGGUAGGCCUAACACAUGCAAGUCGAACGGCAGCACAGUAAGAGCUUGCUCUUACGGGUGGCGAGUGGCGGACGGGUGAGGAAUACAUCGGAAUCUACUUUUUCGUGGGGGAUAACGUAGGGAAACUUACGCUAAUACCGCAUACGACCUACGGGUGAAAGCAGGGGAUCUUCUGACCUUGCGCGAUUGAAUGAGCCUAUGUCGGAUUAGCUAGUUGGCGGGGUAAAGGCCCACCAAGGCGACGAUCCGUAGCUGGUCUGAGAGGAUGAAGAGGCAAAAUUGAACUGAGACAAGGUCCCAAAUCAUGAGGGAGGGAAGAAUGGGGAAAAAUGGGAAAUGGGCGCAAGCCUGAUCCAGCCAUACCGCGUGGGUGAAGAAGGCCUUCGGGUUGUAAAGCCCUUUUGUUGGGAAAGAAAAGAAGCAGGUUAAUACCCCGCUGUUCUGACGGUACCCAAAGAAUAAGCACCGGCUAACUUCGUG
rnacentral:rRNA from 1 species